UGACCUCAGAUCAGGCAAGGCAACCCGCUGAAUUUAAGCAUAUUAAUAAGCGGAGGAAAAGAAACUAACAAGGAUUCCCCUAGUAAUGGCGAAUGAAGCGGGAACAGCUCAAAUUUGAAAUCUCCGUUGCUUGCAACGGCGAAUUGUAGUUUCGAGAAGCACUUUCUCGGCGGAUCCGAGGUCGUCCAAGUUGCUUGGAACAGCACGUCGUAGAGGGUGACAACCCCGUCUGCGGCGACCUCGGCCGUUCACGAUGUGCUUUCGACGAGUCGGGUUGUUUGGGAAUGCAGCCCAAAAUGGGUGGUAAACUCCAUCUAAAGCUAAAUAUUGGCACGAGACCGAUAGCGAACAAGUACCGUGAGUGAAAGAUGAAAAGCACUUUGAAAAGAGAGUUAAAAAGUACGUGAAACCGUUAAAAGGGAAACGAAUGGGGUUAGCAAUGCGUCGUGCGAGAUUCAGCCGGUGGGUGGGCCAGGCGGGCGGUUGGCGGAUCUGAAUGGACCGCUGCCGUUCGGGUUGGUUUCCCGACCGUCGCACUUCUCGCAGACGCGCGCCAACGUUGGUUAGGGCUGGGUUUCAAAGGCGGUGGAAAGGUAGGUUUGGACUCUCGGGCCCGAACUGUUGCAGUCCUCCGUUUGUCAUGGCCCGGACCUGACCGAGGAGCUUGCGGUGCAUGCCGUUCGGCUAGGGUCCCGUCUUCCCGGUCGGUCGUCGAAUGCGGUGGACUGCGUGCAGUGCGCCGCGACUGCUGCCGGUCGCGAGGGCGGUGAUUUCGUACUAUGCAACCACGACGUUGGCGAUCAUAUGGCCUCAUCCGACCCGUCUUGAAACACGGACCAAGGAGUCUAACAUGUGUGCGAGUCUUUGAGUGAUCGAAACUCCGAGGCGAAAUGAAAGUGAAGGCGAUCUCGGUCGCUGAGGUGCGGAUAGAUCGCGGAUAGCGGAGCCUCUCGGCAAAGCAAAUGACAGAUGUCAUUUUUCACGUUGACCUCAGAUCAGGCAAGGCAACCCGCUGAAUUUAAGCAUAUUAAUAAGCGGAGGAAAAGAAACUAACAAGGAUUCCCCUAGUAAUGGCGAAUGAAGCGGGAACAGCUCAAAUUUGAAAUCUCCGUUGCUUGCAACGGCGAAUUGUAGUUUCGAGAAGCACUUUCUCGGCGGAUCCGAGGUCGUCCAAGUUGCUUGGAACAGCACGUCGUAGAGGGUGACAACCCCGUCUGCGGCGACCUCGGCCGUUCACGAUGUGCUUUCGACGAGUCGGGUUGUUUGGGAAUGCAGCCCAAAAUGGGUGGUAAACUCCAUCUAAAGCUAAAUAUUGGCACGAGACCGAUAGCGAACAAGUACCGUGAGUGAAAGAUGAAAAGCACUUUGAAAAGAGAGUUAAAAAGUACGUGAAACCGUUAAAAGGGAAACGAAUGGGGCUAGCAAUGCGUCGUGCGAGAUUCAGCCGGUGGGUGGGCCAGGCGGGCGGUUGGCGGAUCUGAAUGGACCGCUGCCGUUCGGGUUGGUUCCCGAC
rnacentral:ncRNA from 1 species